rnacentral:rRNA from 1 species
GGGGAGCUUGCUCCUCCGGAUUAGUGGCGAACGGGUGAGUAAUACGUGAGCAAUGUGCCCUUGACUCUGGGAUAAGCGCUGGAAACGGCGUCUAAUACCGGAUACGACCAUCGGAGGCAUCUCCUUUGGUGGAAAGAACUUCGGUCAAGGAUCAGCUCACGGCCUAUCAGCUUGUUGGUGAGGUAACGGCUCACCAAGGCGACGACGGGUAGCCGGCCUGAGAGGGUGACCGGCCACACUGGGACUGAGACACGGCCCAGACUCCUACGGGAGGCAGCAGUGGGGAAUAUUGCACAAUGGGCGCAAGCCUGAUGCAGCAACGCCGCGUGAGGGACGAAGGCCUUCGGGUUGUAAACCUCUUUUAGCAGGGAAGAAGCGAGAGUGACGGUACCUGCAGAAAAAGCACCGGCUAACUACGUGCCAGCAGCCGCGGUAAUACGUAGGGUGCAAGCGUUGUCCGGAAUUAUUGGGCGUAAAGAGCUCGUAGGCGGUCUGUCGCGUCUGCUGUGAAAACCCGAGGCUCAACCUCGGGCUUGCAGUGGGUACGGGCAGACUAGAGUGCGGUAGGGGAGAUUGGAAUUCCUGGUGUAGCGGUGGAAUGCGCAGAUAUCAGGAGGAACACCGAUGGCGAAGGCAGAUCUCUGGGCCGUAACUGACGCUGAGGAGCGAAAGCAUGGGGAGCAAACAGGCUUAGAUACCCUGGUAGUCCAUGCCGUAAACGUUGGGAACUAGAUGU